UACAGGAAGUACCAAAAUAAAAGCUCGGGGAGCUCGCUGAGUGAUCCGUGAACUGUCAUGUCUUCCUUGCCGUCAUCUCGGUUCCACUCGGUCACUGUCGCGACGCGCCCCACGCUUACCACACAGUGUCGAGGGAUUCAGCUUUGGCUGAAAGUAUUGGAAGGGCCGUUCUGGCAGCUAUACAAGAAAUUAACCCAGCGUCAGCUACAACGGCUGGCGCAGAGCCACAACAGCACUUGGCUGUUCGGAACUACGCUGCUCUUAGAUCAGCCACACCGUCUACCUCCACUUUGACAUCCUACCGCAUGCUAUGCUGUCAUACUGAUUUGACCUAGAUGUCUAUUUGUGUUUUCAACAUGACUUGUGACUCCGGCACUGAUGGUACGGUAUCUUUAACAGCACCAGACUUCACCCCAGUGACCUCUCAGUCAGGUACCUACCAAGGAAGGCAUGAUAUAUCCAGAGAGGAGCUUGAACAUGUUCUUUCCCUGAAAACCACUUUUACUGAAGCAGCAUCUACUCUUGGAAUCUCAAGGCCAACUUUCUAUAAAUUACUACAAGACUACAAUAUUCCAACAUCAAAAUUUGAUCUAAUCAGUGAUCAACCAUUAGAUAUUGAAGUGUCACAAAUCAAAACUGAACACCCAAAUGUUGGUGAAGUGAUGCUCAUGGCGCAUCUGUAUGAAGGUAAAUUUGUUUUAUUUUUCAAUCGAAAAAAAAGUUGCUCCAAUCGCAAAACAUGUUCUCAAUCAGAAAAAACGUCACUUCAAUAAAAAAAAACAAAAACGUUUUCAAUCAAAGAAAAAACUUGUUCAAACGCAAAAAAAAAAUAUUUGUGCUAUUUGUGGAUUAUUUACUGAUUUCAAGACAUGUUUUGGACAAUAUAUUAUACUGGCUUGUUUUGUCUGGAUGUCUAAGCUUGGAUUAUGGCCGUUUUUUGUGGAAUAUUUUCAUUUGUGACCAGUUAUGAGCCUUCAAAGGUGAGUUUUGCUGUUUACGUGAUUUGUUGUUUUGUACAUUGUAGAUUAAUACUGAAGAUGAACACUUUUUGUUGACAAUAUAAUUGUUUAUGUCUUAUUUUAUAGUUUUGAUGUCUUCAGUAUUAAUCUACAAUGUACAAAAUAAUGAGAUAAAAACCACUGAAUGAGAAGUUCAAGUUUGCUUUAUUGUCUCCUGUGGGAGAAAUUUGUCUUAGACAAGGCAAGAAGUCAAGCUGCACAGCAAAACAAUAAAACAGAACACAUACUAUUAAGAAUACAUGAUAAAUACAUGACAUAUAAUAACUAAGUUAAAAUAAUAUAAAAAAAACAAAAUACACACAUUCCCCCAUGCAUACAUUUCGCACAUCCCCAAUUACCUCCCUUUGGUAGCUGCACCUCGCCGCUGAUUAAUGAGCUUGACUGAGACGGGGAUGAAAGAAUUUUUUAAACAGUUGAGCUUCACAGCAGGACUCUGUACCUCCUGCCUGAAUUCAACAGCUCACACUGUGUGAACAGGACAUGGGAUGGAUCAGCAAGAAUACUGUUUGCUUGCCUGAUGGUGGCCUGCAUAAAUAAGUCUUGUGGCAUCAGUGGAACAGGGGUACCUAUGAUUUUACUGGCCAUCUUCACCAGGUUAUGAAGAUGGCGAGUAAAAUCAUAGGUACCCUUGAAGGUGUGUCCAUGCUGUAUCUCCAUAGAUAUUAAUCUGAAUGGUUUUCUCUUUCUGAAAAUGGAUUGCAACGAUCUCUUCUGGCAUGACGUCCUGUGCGAGCACAGUCAACACUCUAUUCUUUGCACAAUGCCUUAUUUCGACAGGAAACAAAGGAAAUGAUUCCCUCUGGUGACAUAUUAGC